GCGAAGACAAUAAAGGAAUCAAUGAUAACCCGUAAGUGCUUAAGUAGCUGCAUAAAUGGUGGCACCAAUAACUGGCUGAAAAUCCUUUAUGGGACUUUGUUUCUCUCAGCACAGAGUCAAACUCCUCACGAUGGCCCACAAGGCCCUGUCUGCUGGUCCCUGGGUUUUUCCUGCCUCUGAUGAUUACAAGUUCAUGACCUUAAGAAUUAUUAUUAUUAGAAAUUAUGCCUUUAAUGUGGCUUCUUCCAAGGAUGAAGAUUGAAUUUUGUGUACACAUGAUAUGUGUAACAUCACAGCCACUUGGUUGGGGGUGGGGGCUUAGAGAGCUGUUGGUCAAAGGACACAAAAUUUUAGUUAGAAGGAAUAAAUUCAAGAGAUCUAUUGUACACCAUGUUUACCAUAGUUAACAGUAUAUUGUAUUCUAGAAAAAUGCUAAAAUAGACCCAUACAUAUAUGGUCAAUUUAAUUUUUUACAAUAAUAUGAAAGCAAUUCAAUGGAGAAAGGAAAAUCUUUCUAAUAAAUGCUGCUGGAACUAUUAAACAUAAAUAUGUAAAAUGUUAUCCUUGAUUCACACUUUACACCUUAUAUCAAACAAAAACAACCAGCAAAACAAUCCCCAAAAUUCUAAAUAAAAAAUAUGCCCAAAUAUAAAAGGUAAAACCAAUCUUUUAGAAGAAACACACCAAAAAAACCUCUUUGUGAUGUUGGUUUAACCAAGAGCAUUAUCCAUAAUUAGAAAAAAAAAAUGAUAAAGUAGACCAAAAUUAAAAACUUGCUAUAUGAGAUAUUCACACACUGCUGCUGAGGAUUUAACCCAAGGAACAUAAAAACAUAUGUUUACAACUAUAAUCCCAUGCUUAUUUAAAACAGUUUUAUUUGUAAGAAACCAAAAUUGUAAAUAACUCAAACAUCUCUCAAUGAGGGAAUGGAUAAAUCGAUAGCACUGGGGUAGUAGCUAUAGAAGAAAGUGAUGCCAAGCAGUAUUUUGAAGACUGUAAAAUCAAUAGCACAUACAUAGGGGAAAGUUGGCAAUUCAGGAGAGUGGAGAGGAUUGCUGGAACAAUAUUUUAGUGCACAAGAGAAGACAAAAUACAGAGGAGGUGGAUUUAUGGGGUAUAUAACUCUUAUGCCUCGAAGUCACUGAUCUCGAUGGAGUGAGCUGAAUAUUAACAGGAGGUGACAAAUUGUUCCUAAGCUGAAACUCCAAUUUUCUGAAUAAACUGCCAUCAUCAGAUUUAUACAUCAGUAUAAGAAAGUUUGAGUAUCAUCUCUGUGUUAACCUCUGUGGAGGCAAUAAAGGAGCCUAAGAAAUGAGCCCUGCCUUCCAGAAGCAUGCAAUCUUCUUAUGAAAUGCUCACCCUCUCGACCUCUUUUCCUCCAAGGAUGACCACAUGCCAUGGUUUUGGCCAAUGAGAUGUAGACAGCUUAUUAAAUCAAAUAGACCCAGCUACCAUACUACCAAUGACUUAUUGUUUUGAAAGAUUUA
rnacentral:lncRNA from 1 species